UACGGAGGGUGCGAGCGUUGUCCGGAAUCAUUGGGCGUAAAGGGCGCGUAGGUGGCCCCUCAAGCGUGCGGUGAAAGUCCGGGGCUCAACCCCUGAUCGGCCGUGCGAACUGGGGAGCUUGAGCACUGUAGAGGCAGGCGGAAUUCCGGGUGUAGCGGGGGAAUGCGUAGAGAUCCGGAAGAACACCGGUGGCGAAGGCGGCCUGCUGGGCAGUUUUGCUGACACUGAGGCGCGACAGCGUGGGGAGCAAACAGG
rnacentral:rRNA from 1 species